GUCAACUACCCCUGCCUAAAUGGGAGGGGCAUGUAGUUACGUACAAGCCUGGUUGACCAGGAUAAGUUACGGAGCAGUGGCGAUGCAAAGAAGUAACUACGUAAGCGAUAGGUUAUACAAGACCCACUCCGGGAUGCUUCCUCUGUCUAGGAUCCUGGAAGGAGGGGAUCAUGCAGGCGAAAGGCAAAGCACCAAAGGUUCCCUUCUCCUGUACAUGCAGGUAGCUGGUCGCGCACUUUCCCGAGAGAAGCGAGUCGGAAACGCC
rnacentral:sRNA from 1 species